CAAGAUACAAGAUAUUUCCAGCACCACAGGAGACUCCUUCACACCCCAUGCUGGCAUACAAAGGUCCAGCCAUUGGCCCACAUCAUCAUCUUUAACAAGGGAAUACUCCACAAUUCACCUCCUCCUGACCCUUUGUCAUCUAAAUCAUCUAUGUCAUCUAUAUCAUCUGUUUGUCUGCUAUAUCCUUUGUCAUCAUGA